rnacentral:rRNA from 1 species
GAUGAACGCUAGCGGCAGGCCUAAUACAUGCAAGUCGAACGAUAGAAGAGGGCUUGCUCUCUUCGAAAGUGGCGCACGGGUGCGUAACGCGUAUGCAACCUACCUUAAUCAGGGGGAUAGCCCGAAGAAAUUCGGAUUAACACCGCAUAAAAUCACAGUACAGCAUUCUACACUGAUCUAAUAUUUAUAGGAUUAAGAUGGGCAUGCGUGACAUUAGCUAGUAGGCUGGGUAACGGCCCACCAAGGCGAGGAUGUCUAGGGGAUCUGAGAGGAUGACCCCCCACACUGGUACUGAGACACGGACCAGACUCCUACGGGAGGCAGCAGUAAGGAAUAUUGGUCAAUGGAGGCAACUCUGAACCAGCCAUGCCGCGUGCAGGAAGACAGCCCUCUGGGUCGUAAACUGCUUUUAUUCGGGAAUAAACCUACUUACGUGUAAGUAGCUGAAUGUACCGAAGGAAUAAGGAUCGGCUAACUCCGUGCCAGCCGCCGCAGUAA